rnacentral:rRNA from 1 species
AUUGAACGCUGGCGGCAGGCCUAACACAUGCAAGUCGAGCGAGCGACGGACGGUUGAGUAAUGUUUGGGUACUGCUCGAUAGAUGGGGCUAACUACUGGAAACGGUGGCUAAUACAGCAUAUUCUCUGCUCACCCAUAUGGGAUUUGCCAGUAGGGAAGGUAAUAGCUUUCCUAGGCUACGAUCCCUCUCUGGUCUGAGAGGAUGAUCAGCCACACUGGUAAUGAGACACGGCCCAGACGCCUACGGAGGGAGCAGUGGGGAAUAUUGCACAAUGGGCGCAAGCCUGAUGCAGCCAUGCCGCGUGUAUGAAGAAGGCCCUAGGGUUGUAAAGUACUUUCAGUCGGGAGGCGUUACCGACAGAAGAAGAACCGGCUAACUCCGUGCCAGCAGCCGCGGUAAUUC